UCAGGGACUUUUCAAACAUGAUUUAUCUCUUGCUCUUCCUUUUAUCGAUGAGUGAUGGUUUUGAUGGAUGAUCGAAUAGGAACGGGAUUACAGUGUGGGAGGUGCUGAGAGAAAGCAUUGUGGCAGUGCGUAUGAUUUCAGAGUUUAACUUUCAGAUGUUCUUGCUGUGUACACGCACAUUCAGAUGAGAGAUGUUCCACGAUGUCUCGAUUGAGAUAAACCAGAUGGUGUUUGGUUUCAGAACUGCCGCA